CCUCCCCCUCGUCACGGCGUGAGCGUGCACGCACCUUUUGACGUCCCCCCAUGCGGCCCCCCCUGCGUGAAGCUGAAAGUGGAGGCAGAGAGCGCGAGGCCGUGCCCUGAACUCACUCACGGGGAAAUUCCAUGGCGGCGUCCGCCUGCCCCUCACAGGCUCCGCGCGCUUUGCCCAAUCGCGGCGUCUAUCUGCCAUUAAUUCCAAACCGAGCUCUUUUGUGCACUUAUCCGAUGUCCAUCGGGAGUCUGAAGAAAGUCUACAGAAGAAAGAAAGAAAUUUUUUCUGGACCAAAGAGAUGCCGGUCUGAAACGUAGGAAGAAUCUAAAAGGUGGCCAUACCAGCCUCAAGGGAACUCCAAGACACACCUGUGCACCACAUACAAUGUGACCACUCCUCUCUACGACCCUCCACGGGCCCCGCAGAACCC